UGCCCGGUAGCUAAGUGCGGAAGAGAUAACCGCUGAAAGCAUCUAAGCGGGAAACUUGCCUUGAGAUGAGUCUUCCCUGACUCUUUAAGGGUCCUAAAGGAACGUUUAAGACUAAGACGUUGAUAGGUUGGGUGUGUAAGCGUAGCGAUACGUUGAGCUAACCAAUACUAAUGAACCGUGAGGCUUAACCUG
rnacentral:rRNA from 1 species